rnacentral:rRNA from 1 species
CGAACGCUGGCGGCAUGCCUAACACAUGCAAGUCGAACGAGACCUUCGGGUCUAGUGGCGCACGGGUGCGUACCGCGUGGGAACCUGCCCUUAGGUUCGGAAUAACUCCCCGAAAGGGGUGCUAAUACCGGAUAAUGUCUUCGGACCAAAGAUUUAUCGCCUUUGGAUGGGCCCGCGUUGGAUUAGCUAGUUGGUAGGGUAAAAGCCUACCAAGGCGACGAUCCAUAGCUGGUCUGAGAGGAUGAUCAGCCACACUGGGACUGAGACACGGCCCAGACUCCUACGGGAAGCAGCAGUGGGGAAUAUUGGACAAUGGGCGAAAGCCUGAUCCAGCAAUGCCGCGUGAGUGAUGAAGGCCUUAGGGUUGUAAAGCUCUUUUACCCGGGAUGAUAAUGACAGUACCGGGAGAAUAAGCUCCGGCUAACUCCGUG